rnacentral:rRNA from 1 species
UACGUAGGGUGCGAGCGUUGUCCGGAAUUAUUGGGCGUAAAGAGCUCGUAGGCGGCUCAGUAAGUCGGGUGUGAAACCCUCAGGCUCAACCUGGAGACGCCACUCGAUACUUCUAUGGCUUGAGUUCGGUAGGGGUAAGCGGAAUUCCUGGUGUAGCGGUGAAAUGACGCAGAUAUCAGGAGGAACACCGACGGCGAAGGCAGCUUACUGGGCCGAUACUGACGCUGAGGAGCGAAAGCGUGGGGAGCGAACAGG